CUUCCUGCUGCCCUGAUAAUGGCUGCUCGCGGCGUGGGGUUAUUGACCCGUUUGCCCGUGUGUUCCCAGAGACGGAACCGAAUCCCGCGCUCUAUUUCCAGGCUCCUCAGUUGUCCAGGGACUAUUGCGGCGAGCAUCGGGAGCGAAGAACAGUCUUCGGUGGUUGCGGAAACAGGUGAUGGCGCUGGCCGGGGCGGGCGGAGGCCGAGCGGCCCAGUCUCCCUCCCGCCUGUCACUGGAGCACGACUGCCCAGUACAGCAGUGAAAUCGUUUAGGGAAGGAACGCAGUUGGCGAGUGCUUUAUAGUUCAACACGGAAACCGUUCGCGGUGCUUGUAACAGUCUUGCCUCCCAGCCGGCCUUGCUCCAUCCCUGACCUUAGCGCAUCUGCCUUUGAUAAUCUUUCUUGUUUUGGGUUAUUAGCGCUGUGCUGAAAGACCAUAACCAAAAGCAACCAGGGAAGGAAAGAAUUUAUUUGAAUUACAUAUUUUGACCCACUGUUCACUGAGGAAAGCCAAGGAGGAAUUCCAACUGGUCAGAAGUCUGGGGCAGAAGCUUGCUCCUCGUGGCUUGCUUAAUCUGCUUGUUUUAUAAUCCAGGGGCACAAAGCCAAGAUGGUACCACCUUCAAUAUCAAUCACUCAUUAAAGAAAAUGCUUUACAGAUUUGCCUGCAACACAAUCUUGAUAGAGCCAUUUUCUCAGUUGAAGUUCUCUUGUUUCUGAUGACGCUAAAACUAGCCAGUGUAAUAUUCAUAGGAUGUUGCCAGAGGCUGACUACACUCCAGCCUAAUGAACAGCUGAUUUUCCUGGUUCUCAGAACCCUUUGCCUAUGAAAUGUCUGUUUAUUAUUUUGGAUUUUUCAGCGCAAUCCUAUUGGUAACAGUCUUGCAUAUUGAGCCGUUCUUGUACCCCAGUAACCUGUGGAUAGUUUUUAGAAUUCUAGAACAGUCGUGCAAGACUGUAUGUUGAAAUGACUGAAUUGGAUUUAGCAGAAGCAGCUUCUGUUGAAAAUUCAUUAAAUAACCCAGUAAAUCCAAAUGCGGUUUCUGCCAGAGAUUCUGUUGUAAUUUAGCAUUUGUGUGAUGGCUUAAGUUUGAGAGCAUUUUUAUAUGCCCCUUGGGACAUAAAAGAAAACCUGUGGAGUAGAACAGAAGGCAUUAUUGCAACGUUGUUUUAAUUUCGUUCCUAUUUUCUGUGUGCACAUGUGAGUGUUGUGUCUGUGUGUAUGGUUGCAUAUGUGUGGGCACGUGUGUAAGUGCGUGUGGGCAUGAGUGUGUGGCUCUUUCAAACUGUUCAUCGAGGCAGGAUCUCAAUCAAACCCAGAGCCGGAAGAAGUGCUAGUGUCAGUUCUUGCUCUGGAAACCUUCUAGCUAGUGCAGGUGAGCCUCCCUGCCUACCUCACAUUUACCUGAGGUCCAGGGAUCUGAACUCUGGUCUUCAAACUUCUAUGGCAGUUAUUUUAGCCAGCGGGCCAUCCCCUCAGCCCUGUGACUCCAUUUUAUAGAUAAAAAGAGCAAGGUAAGCCUGCCUUUCAAGCUCAAGCUUUACCAUCUACAGAGUAGCAAAAGCAGCAGUAAAGCUCUCCUGACGGGAGGCCUUUGUCUUUCCUAGCUAUAUUGAUUGUGGACCACAUUUGUAUCAUUAGGAUAUGUGGUGAGGUGUGCCUUUACAUAAAAAGAGAAGGAAAUGAGGACCAGAAGGAAAAACAGUCCAAAGGCAGAUUGACAGGAAGUAAAGUAGUCUGUCCUUAACAUGAAGAAGAUAGUCUUCCACACUGUUAAGUAAGUAAACAUAACAAUUCUAUGGAGUGUACUCCUUCAUAGAUACCAAAGUGAGGUAAUACAGAGCUGGACGACAGUCUACUGUGGUGUGCCUGAAAUCUUUACACACCUAAGCAAAAUUUGAAGGCUGAAUGAAAGUUGGCCAGACAGAACGAAAGCAGGUCGGCAUUCCAACAGGGAAUAGAGGCAAGAAAGCUUUUAGCAUGUAAUGUGUUGUGUGUACAGUGUGGUAUGUGGCAGGUGUGUAAUAUGUUGUGUGUACAGUGCCGUAUGUGGCAGAUGUGUAAUGUGUUGUGUGUACAGUGUGGUAUGUGGCAGGUGUGUGAUAUGUUGUGUGUACAGUGCCGUAUGUGGCAGGUGUGAGGACAGAAAUGGAUGAUUAAAGGAGGCACGUGGUGCCAGCAACCUAGGCUGGGGCAUUUAGACUUCAGUGUACAGGUAGAAGGGUCAUGUUGGCAGGAAUGUGGUCCAAUGAUUGAGGGGGACAAAACAGAAGUGCCUGAGUCCAAUUAUGGAGUUGGGCUGCUGCAAUUCCUGAAAUGAAUGAUGAAGGUUGUUGUGGAGUGGAUAGGAGGGUACAUGUAAAAGUGUCUUCAACAUCUAGAGCAGGAGGGAGUUGGGAGGAGGGCACGUGUAAGUGGGUCUUCAGCAUCUAGGGUGGGAGGGAGAAGAUUGGUAUUUUUGCUGGUUUGCUCACUUGUUAUAGGGCUGAGAGGCCAAGGCCCAGAGUUCUCUGCUGUGCCCUAAGAGACUUGGCUUUGAACUGGUGCUGAUGAGGGCAGUUUAGGAUUCAACAGCUUGCACUGUCAUAAACUCAAUCCCCCUCUUUCCCAUGAAAAUGUCUUGGAGUUUGCUAAAAUCAAGAUAGGGUAUUUAGAGUACUUUCUUGGUUGGGCUCAAAGCUUUUAAUUUUCAUAUGUCAGUUACAACUCCCAUUCUUUUGAGUCUCUGGAAUUUUGUUGAGUAUGCUGCUGUCAAACUUAGUGCUUCUUAAUUUAUAGUCUAUCCUCUCAGACUUAGAAAAUGCACUUUUAACUCUUCAUUGACAGUUAAGUAUUUUGAGGGGAAAGCGAGUUUAUUUUCCUUUUAUGGUCAGUGAAUGUAUCUAACUCGACUGUACCUGUCCUCAUCCCUCUCUUUGUAAAACUCCUUGUCUCUAGAAAGGUUCAAAGGAUUUCUUUUGUAGCUCUGGUGGAUGGUCUUGAAUUUCACUGUGUAGCAGAAGGUGACCUUGAGCAUGGGACCCUCCUCCCUCUAUCUUCUGAUUGCUGGGAUUACAGAUAUGUACUUUUCAUGCCCAGUUUUGUGUUGUACUGAGGAUUGAACUCAGGGCCUUGUUCUAUCUCUAGCUUUAGAUUUUAAUUUUAUUUCCCUGUGAUAGAAUGCCUAAUUGAUGGCAAGUAGGUAUCAAUUGUUUGAGUCAGAUCAAGACUUUAGAUGGAAAAAAUCUUUACAGUAACUUACUACAGCUACAUACAGUUAAAUGUCUUCAGACCAUUGUUUGAUUAUACUUAGACUUGUAUUAAUUUCCUUUAGGCCUUUUAGUAUUACAGAUUUUACAGGUUUUGUUUGUGUAUUUGCAGAAGUGUUGAGUGAGUGGUUUUACGUCCUAAUUUUUGCAGACUGUUGCCAGCAUUGGUCUUGGGUAUUCCAAAUCAUAAUUUUAAUUAUAGUCACAGAGAAUUGUAAGAUGGGCCAAGUGUGGUGGCACACACCUUUAGUCCCAGUGCUUCAGAGGCAGAGACAGGAAGAUCUCUUGAGUUUAAGGCUAGCCUUGUCUACAUAAUGAGUUUCAAGCCAACCAGGGCUUGUCAAGUGAGACUUGUC
rnacentral:lncRNA from 1 species